CUGUACCAUGCGGUGUGCAGGAGGACUUUUUUAUUCAGUUGGUGCGGCAAGAUCGAACACCAACAACAUAAUAUCAUGGUAAUCACCCAGCAAGAGAACGCAGUGAUAAUGGACCAACAGAAAACACAACAUCAAGAUGCUCGGAAAGGACUUUCUCUUUCGAACAAACAUAAUGGCACGUCAUGUUCAAUCGGCUAACCGUUUGGAAUAAGCGCUCAUCAUCGGUUUCAUGGCAGGGAAGUGAGCAGGCAAAAGAAUGCAUCGUUUUUUCCGCAAGGUCGCUCUGGUCAAAAUUUCAGCGAAUUGCAAGGAAUAAACCACCCGAGGGACAGUACCCGUGCUGAUUCAGGACGAUUUCCCAUACUUUGUACCUUGCUAUUAAAUUUUAAUACCCGAUCGAAACGAUGGCAAGCGCUACCGAUAACUGGGUCAAAAA